GUGCUCGCUUCGGCAGCACAUAUACUAAAAUUGGAACUAUACAGAGAAGAUUAGCAUGGCCCCUGCGCAAGUUCGUAAAAAAAAAAAUUGCAAGGGAGAAAACAUUUUA